rnacentral:rRNA from 1 species
UACGGAAGGGGCGAGCGUUGUUCGGAAUCAUUGGGCGUAAAGCGCGCGCAGGCGGUCCUUUAAGUCUGAUGUGAAAGCCCACGGCUCAACCGUGGAGGGUCAUUGGAAACUGGGGGACUUGAGUGCAGAAGAGGAAAGCGGAAUUCCACGUGUAGCGGUGAAAUGCGUAGAGAUGUGGAGGAACACCAGUGGCGAAGGCGGCUUUCUGGUCUGUAACUGACGCUGAGGCGCGAAAGCGUGGGGAGCAAACAGG